rnacentral:rRNA from 1 species
GAUGAACGCUGGCGGCGUGCCUAAUACAUGCAAGUCGAGCGAACAGAUGAGGAGCUUGCUCCUCUGACGUUAGCGGCGGACGGGUGAGUAACACGUGGAUAACCGACCUAUAAGACUGGGAUAACUUCGGGAAACCGGAUCUAAUACCGGAUAAUAUAUUGAACCGCAUGGUUCAAUAGUGAAAGACGGUUUUGCUGUCACUUAUAGAUGGAUCCGCGCCGCAUUAGCUAGUUGGUAAGGUAACGGCUUACCAAGGCAACGAUGCGUAGCCGACCUGAGAGGGUGAUCGGCCACACUGGAACUGAGACACGGUCCAGACUCCUACGGGAGGCAGCAGUAGGGAAUCUUCCGCAAUGGGCGAAAGCCUGACGGAGCAACGCCGCGUGAGUGAUGAAGGUCUUCGGAUCGUAAAACUCUGUUAUUAGGGAAGAACAAAUGUGUAAGUAACUAUGCACGUCUUGACGGUACCUAAUCAGAAAGCCACGGCUAACUACGUG